UAAUAAUAAAAUAAAAUGUAAUUAAGUAUUUCUUAAUUAUUUUACAAAUCCAUUGGGAGCCGCAGCUUAGGGAAGAAAGAGCUGCAUGCGGCUCCAGAGCCGCGGGUUGCCGACCCCUGAUCUAGAUUUUAAUUUCUGUCCACUCUCAGAUUCGUUAAUUGAGACAAAGAUCUUUAGAAUAAACUCGUCGAGUCCUGAAGACUGUAUUUGAUCGAUGCCUCACUGAGGUUUCUCUGUUUCACCAACAACAUGCAGUUAAACUCUCUCUCUGGUUUCAUCCUGCAGACCUAAUUUCCCUUCUUCGCUCGUUCUGCGGCGUCGACCUCAAAGACACUCUCUCUCUCUCUCUCUCUCUCUCUCUCUCUCUCCUCUGCGGUCCAAAUUGAUUUCCAGGAGUGAGUGUUUCAGCGCAUCAGCUCUGAUGGAUUAGCCCUUCAAAUGUGUUUUUGUCAGAGAGCAACUGAAGCCGGCUGCAUUUUGAGAAGACGCCGAGGUUACCUGAGUUCAAACCGGAGAUCAGACCUUUGACCUUUGCUCUGGGGUCAGAGAUGGAGAUGGUGAGAUUAAAAAUGUAAAAUGUAAUUAAAUUCAUAGAAUAAAGACACCAGGACGUGUUCAUCCUCGGUGGUAUAAAGAUGAUUCAGGUCUCAGUAAUAAUUCAGAUCCGUGUCUCAGCAGAUAAAAACCCGCCCCUGGUCUCCAGGACUCUGAUGAAGUCUGGUGAGUCACAUCUAAUUUUACGUCAUUAUUUUGUUGUUUCUCUUUUUUUUUUUUCUCUUGACCCUGUUGUCAUCAUGUUACUCUGCACUUUGAACACAUCGGUUUGUUUCCAGGGCAACGGGAACUCAAAUUAAAGGGAGAUCUGGUUCAAUCUGACCUUCUCCGAAUGAACCCGGAGCUCAAAGAAACACAUUUAGAGGAUCCAGGUUAGACUCUGUGACGCUCAGAAUGACAUCCGACAGAACCAGACCCGGUCCGACAUGUCAAAUCAAGAGUUUAUGAUGAGGCAGAAACAGAAAAACAGACGUGUGUCCUCGUCUUCAUGUUUGUUCAUCAGGUAAAAAUAGAGAUUUAAAAAUGUCUAACAUCAGAUCAGUGAACGGAGGUCUGCGUCAGACUCUCAUGUAAAUGAAAAUUCAUCAUUACGAACUCACAGUCCGACUCCUCCUGUGGCCUUUUUACUCGGAGCCCAGGGGAAGGUAGGGGAAGGUCCCGCCUCCUUCGCCUCUGAUUGGCUAGGAGUGCUGGGCUCUGAUUGGUUAUUCCUUAUGACUGUGAAAUGUCAUCAUCUGUUGGGUUAGGGUCAUUCUGUUUCAGUUUCCUCAGAAGUCAGAAGUCGGAGCUGAAAAUGACGUCACACCCGAGUUCUCAGCGUUUCAGUUACCAAGUCUGUAAAAAGCAAAAUCAGAGGCGGAAAGUUAGGAAAGUUAUUUUAGCGCUGUCCUUGUCCGACCAGGCAAGCGCUAAAAUAACUUUCAUAGAUGUAGCCAUCUUGUUUCAGGCCUCUGAUUUUGCUUUUUACCGUCUUGGUGACUGAAACGCUGUGAACUCGGGUGUGACGUCAUUUUCAGCUCCGACUUCUGACUUCCGAGGUAACUUGAACGCAGCAUCAGAAUUGCGAUAAUGUUCCGUAAUGUUCUGUUCGAUGUACAGAGCCGACAGCUCGCACUUGGCUUGAGUGUGUGAUGACGUUUCACAACAAUGAUGACUAACCAAUCGGAGCCCAGCUUUUCUAACCAAUCAGAAGAAGGAGGCGGGACCUUUCCCUACCAUCCUACGAAGAAAAAUGUCGCCACCUGGAUUAUGGUGUCAAACUAUAAUAUAGAGAAAAAUCAGAAUCUAGAAGGGGGCGGGGCUAUGAUGUCAGCUAUGAUGUCAUCUUUGUUGGCAACAGUGGAGGAGGUCUCUAGAGAGGAGGAGUUAGACAUACUUAUUCUUCAAGGUCGGGUUUUCAUAUCUGGAGCUGAAACUAAAACAUUUUUAAAUCAAUUCACAUUUUAAUAUACCAGUUAAUAAAAACAAAUUUAAACAGUCACUUCCACUCAUGAUUACAGACUGUAGGAGAUGGUGAACCGUCCAGUCUGAGUCUGUGGUGGUGGAGCUGAAAGUCUGAGUUCAGAGCAGAAGGAGAAAACAGAAAUCAUCGACAGGAACCUAAACGGUGACAAAGCGAAGUGUAAGGAGUUUAAAAUCAGAGGAACACCGAGAUCACGCUGUUCUUUAAAAACUCCGGUCUGACGGAGACGUCUUCUCAUUUCCAGGAAAACAACAGGUCUCUCAUGAGGAACACGGCGUAUUUUUAUCAGAUCAACAACCUAUCUGCUGAAAAACAAGAUUAGAAGUUCAGUGAACCGGUACAUGAGGUCCGAGCCUGUUUUUCCUCUCUGUGGUGGUUUUUUACAGGAGAACUGCACAAACAGAAACACGUGAAUAUUUCCAAUCAAGACUCUGAUCUGUGUCUGUAUAACACUCUCCACUUUGGACGGGGUUAGUGAUGAAUUAGAGAAAGGCUCCAGUUUCAAAGUGAUUCAUCCUUCACAAACAAACGUCCCGAAAAGACGAGCGCAGACUCAGAACUACAGCCCAGAGAAAACCAGAAAAAUAAGCCAUCAGUAUGAACAAGGUCAGAAAAAUAGAAGAUAGAUUUCAAAAUAUAAACUCUCAGUAAAAAUGUGAAAUCUGUGGUUUUCAGAGAGAGAGGGGGAAAAAAGACAGAGAGGUUUUUGUUCUGUUUCCAUGGAGUCAGCACCGAGGGUCUUUGUAAGGGAGAGGUACAAAUGACUUUGGCAGAAAAGGAGGAGAAUAUUUCUGAUGAUUAACAAGAAAAGAAAGAAAGGAUUGAGGUGAUGAGCGGUUAAUGAGGAGACUCAAAUUAAAAAGGGACGUCUGAAUAAAAGAGAGGCUCUGUUUCUCUGACACCAGCGUCUCUCUUCUGUCCUUUUUAUUCUACAGAAGAAAUCCUAGAAGAAGGUUUGGUGUUUUAUUUUUGUAAGUUUCUUUUAAACUCCUGUUUUAAACUUUAUUUUUUUAACUUUUCUCUGUGGCUUAGCAGAUAAAAAUAUCCUGUUUGGAGUGGAAUCGAGUGUCAGCCGUCUGAGGUCUUUCCUGUAGUGCUUGAAAACACAUCCUUCUCUUAUGUGGGGUCCCCCAGGGGUCUAUCUUGGGUCCCCUUUUGUCCGUUGAAAACCAAACAGCGGUCAUCCUGUUCGGUCG
rnacentral:lncRNA from 1 species